AGAACGAACGCUGGCGGCAGGCCUCAAACAUGCAAGUCUAGGGGGUGUAGCAAUACAUCACCGGCGGACGGGUGCGUAACACGUGGGAACGUGCCUUUAGGUUCGGAACAACACAGGGAAACUUGUGCUAAUACCGGAUGUGCCCUUCGGGGGAAAGAUUUAUCGCCUUUAGAGCGGCCCGCGUCUGAUUAGCUUGUUGGUGAGGUAAAGGCUCACCAAGGCUACGAUCAGUAGCUGGUCUGAGAGGAUGGCCAGCCACAUUGGGACUGAGACACGGCCCAAACUCCUACGGGAGGCAGCAGUGGGGAAUCUUGCGCAAUGGGGGAAACCCUGACGCAGCCAUGCCGCGUGGAUGAUGAAGGUCUUAGGAUUGUAAAAUCCUUUCAGCGGGACGAUAAUGACGGUACCCGCAGAAGAAGCCCCGGCUAACUCGUGCCAGCAGCCGC
rnacentral:rRNA from 1 species